rnacentral:ncRNA from 1 species
UUAAAGUUUGAUUCUUGCUUUUUUAUUAAUUAUUUAAUUUGGUUAUAUAUAAAUAUUUUUAAAUUAAUUAUUAGUAGUAAUUAAUAUUAAUUUUUGAUUUUUAUUCAUUUAGAAAUUUAAUUAAUUCCGAUAAAUAUUGUGCCAGCAUUCGCGGUUAUACAAUUGGUGUAGGUUAAUAUUAUUGAAAAUCAUUUUAUUCGAAAUUUUAAUUUUAUUAUUUAGGUGAAAUUUAUAAUUUAAAUUUGUUUCUUAAAUAUUUUUUUUAAUGUUAAAUCUUUAUUAUAAACUAGGAUUAGAUACCCUAUUAUUUUAGAAUUAAAGUAAUUUCAGAAUAUUAUUAGUUAUGUUCUUUAAAACUCAAAGAAUUUGGCGGUAAAUUAUUCUUUCUAGAGGAACCUGUUUCUUAAUUGAUAAACCACGAUUAUUUCAACCUUUAUUAUACUUGUAUACCUCUAUACUAUGGUAUGUUUUUUUAGAAUAAUUUUCUUUUUUUUUAUAAAUUUUAUAUUAGGUCAAGGUGCAGUUUUAUGAAGGUAGAAAUGGGUUACUUAAAUUUUAUAUAAUUAGGAUAAUUUAAAACUAUAAUUGUUAAUUUGAAAUUGGAUUUAGAAGUAACUUAUAUAAAAUAAUAUAUUUGAAUAUUUGCUCUAAUUUAUGUACAUAUCGCCCGUCAUUCUCAAUAAUAUGAGACAAGUCGUAACAAAGUAGUUUUACCGGAAGGUAAGUCUAGAAAGUA